CUCACGGCGUUGCUGGUUUCCCCACCCACCUAGCGUCUCCCAAGCAACCGCGGAGCCAAGUGGCAAAAUCCCGAAGCCUCAAAUCUCUGACCUCCCAGUGCUUCCUAGGGCGGCUUACCUUUACCACCUGUACUGGUGCUAUAAUUUAAGGUUUCACCAAGUCGCUGAAUUGCCCAAGCUGGGCUCCAAUUUACCCUCCUCUAGCCUCAGACUCGCAGAUGGCUGGCUUUACAGAGGUUUCACUCCAUGGUCACCUGGCCCCAUUGUUUUGGGCCUGUGAUGCCACAGUGUAACAUGAAGGACCACACAGCAGAGGAGGGAGUUCACCUCAUGGCAGACAGGAAGCAAAGAGAAAGAGGAAGGGGGGAUCGAACUCGGGGACCUUGCACUUGUGAGGCAGGCGGCGGAACCACUGAGCUAAAUCCCUGCCCCAAGGAAUACUGAAUUAUUGAGGCCCUUUUUUUCCCUUUGCCAUUUCUCCCUUUGCCCCUUUUUCCUUCCUCCCCCUGCCCCUGCCUUCACCCUUCUGCCUAUUCUUGCUGCUGUCUUGGGCUCUUCAAUAA